GCCUCUUCUUCUCUCUCUGCUCUCACCCAUUUUACUGGCUGGGUGACCAAAUCAUCUCUGACAGGCCGCGGCUUUUCAUGCAGCUUUGUGAGUGUGUGUGUUGAGCCCCCGUCAGACUGGGACGUUCACACUGUACAAAAGAGCAGGGACACACAGGAGCCUCUUCAGUACGACAGGCUGCCACUGUUUGUUCAGGCUGCUGAGGGGCUUCACAUGCUGCCUGUCUGUCUGCGGGUGCUGAGCUGCUGCAGCUGUCGAUGAAGAAAGGUCAGCUCGUCUGAGGAGCUCCAAGAGCAGAAAUGAUCAUCAGACUGGGACGACUGACACCAGGAUACUUCCGUCUCCUCCAGAGGCAGGUCUCAGGUGAGGUCCGGAUGCAGCCUCAGAGUAGUCUCCUCGAUCCCAUCGCCAUGAUGAUGGCCACAGUGGGAAUGGGAGUGUCUCUGUACAGCGCCAUGCAGAUGGCAGAGAGGGUCCAUAUGAAACAUCCAAAUGCCUGAGAUUAGUGAGAAGCCAUGUUGGCAGUUUAUGUGGCAGAUUGUUUUUUUGUGUACGUUGCAGAAGGUUUGUGAUGGAGGUCGAGAGGGUUAAUGUGUUUGUGGUGUUGCUUGAAGGAAAAUCUAAGUGUCCCAGGAGAAAAAUGUGAGUCAUUGCUCAGUCCCAGCAGGAACAUUUGGUCAAACAAUUUACACUUUCUUUGCAAUCUCAACAUUUAUAAGCAAUAUAAGUGAGCCUGCAGUUUGACCACUCUGCAUAUUUGGUGCAGGUUGCCUUUAAUUUCAUUAGUGAUUGUAUUUUUAAUUUGUCAACAAAGAUCUCAGCAUUAAAGUUAGACCUGCAGCCAUUAUUAUUUCCUGCUUUUUAUAGGACAACAAAACAUGUUUGAAAAUAACCACAGAAAAUCAAAUACAAUAAUUAAGAAGGUAAUUAUCUCAGCACACAAGCUUAUUGUAUUUAUUGAAAUUAGUCACAAACACACUUUUUUACAUAGGCAUGGCGAGUUCAUUUGAUGUACCUUAUUUUAUGUAACUUUCAACAUCAAGGUAAUUCAAACGGCUUUACAUAAGAUAGAAAGGCAUUAAGAAAAGAUAUAAAAGAAACACAAUGCCAAUAAAAAGACAUGUGGGAGACAGUGCUAGUAGCAUUUAGAUGUUGAACAGAAGAUGCUCGAGAAUGGAGCCUUGAGGAACUCCAUACAGCAUUUUGAAAUGCUCAGAUGUGUAAUUACCGAUGAACACAAGUGUCUCUCAAAUAGGGUUCAAACCAGUUUAGGCCAGAAAGUCCUAACCAGUGUCAUCUUCAAAAUAUUUCUCUUCAGUAAUUUGUUUGUUGUACUUUAGCACCUUAAUGUUUUGAAUUUAGAUUGUAAAUCCUAAAGCACCAAUACCGCUUUGAGUAUUUAUUCACGAAGCAGACUAUAAGCAGCUAAAUUUAAAGCUGUUUUCAUCAGGGCAUCUUGAGUUUGCUAAAUGUCAAUUUUCAUGUUUGUACUAGAAUUUAAUAAAGGGCUUGUCUGUAGAUGUAAAAUGCCACUAAAAGAAAUUCAAAUGAUUUACUUUGUAUAGUAACACAUUUGGUAAAUUGAUGUAAUUCUCAAAUAAAUAUGUUUACAGAUUUGA